rnacentral:lncRNA from 1 species
CUAAUUAAACUCCUAGAGAUUGUAUAGAAAAAUUGAACUCCUGACUACCCAUAUUAGAGGGCACCUGCAGUCCGUCCCAAGUAAGCGUGUUGUGUGGCAGCCUGUGCUGCUCCUGUCAAGAGUAGGCGUGAACGGAGAGACAACGCAUAACAGUGACGCAAACUCAAGCGGGAGAUAGCAAUAUGGAGGGGCUCUGAAAACAGAGAGAUAAAUAUGGCGGCAAUCUGCUCCCGAUCCGGAAUCACGCCGCGCGAUGGCAUCCGGUCCAGAUCUUGGGGAGGCGUUGUUCUGCGGGAAGACAAAAAUAGGCAGCCGACCGAUCACCAGAUAUUACUUACUAUGAUUUGCUUUAACAAGGGGACAAAUAGUUUAAUUAGUGAUCAACUGACAAGAAUCUAAACAAUCUAUGACAUUCAUCUCCUAAGACACAUCCAACAGUUGUGAAGAAGCAGUUACAUGAGGGCGAGGAUUGGAACAAGGACUGGGAGAGGAUGAGGAACAUACCUAGUACAAAUCCAAUCUCACUUCCUUCUUUUUUCAUCAUUAAUUACCAACAUUGCCAUCAGGAACAUCUACAAAAUAUGUGUUCUCAAUUCCUGGAUAUCCCAUGAGAAAUAGCAGCAAUAAAAAAAGAUGAAACUGGACUUAAAUAGUUUGUUUAGUGUUGUAAAAAUUCAAUGUGUAUGUAAACAAAAGAACAGUACACAGGUAACGAACUACCAUUAAAAGAACCAGUUGUUGUACAAAAUAUAAUCAAUUAGGGUGUAAAAACAUCAUCGUGAACCUGCACCAAAUCCAGAAACUAAAGAACAUUAUCUAAAGAAGAAGACAUAUGUAACACAUGAAGAAUGUAAUCUUCUGGCAAUAACUACUAUCUGGCACACCAAAAUAACAUAGCCUGCUGCAGAACAAAUAAACAUGACUAUGUAGAGAGAGAGAGACCAUCUUUUUCUUCACCAAGCACUUCCUCAAGAUUCAUCCCCUUCUCCUUUUCUCUCAGACCUGCACACAUGUGUUUAGAAAAACCAUAAAUCGAGGAGUAAAAACUGGGGAAGAAAAUGAGACCUUGCUGCUCCUUGCCUCAUGGCUAUCCCUCUCAUCCAGAAGCACAACAACCUGCCAUGUUCUUCUCAAGAUCAAAAUAGUAGUAAUCAAAUUUCACAAAUAAAACAUCAACAAACAAUGGUUAAUUAGUAAAGAACCAAUUUUAUCUAUUGCAGCGACACAGAUUUCUUAGCUUGCGUACAACUCUUAUGUGAUAAGAAGUCAAUUCUGCUGGGUAGUAAGUACCUCGUGGAGAUGGUUGGCAUGGCGAAGCUAUAGGAGCCACCCAUCACGACGAGGAGGCGAGAUACGAAGAACAUUUGCAGUAAGGUGUUUAUGC